rnacentral:tRNA from 1 species
CCCCUCAUGGUCCAGUUGUUAAGAUUCUGCACUUCCAAUGCAGGGGGCACAGGUUUGAUCCCUGGUCAGGGAA